CUUUAUCUGUAACGUGCAUGGACUUGAGGCGUUUUGCCAUUGAUUGCUCGUUUCCCAGAAAACAUUGGGAAAAUCCCACAUGUGUCAGAGUCAGGCCUUUGUCCGGACUUGGCCCGAGUGAUAGUUUCUUGUCUGUCUUCUGGGCAUAACUGCCUGAUAGGUUUGAAUGCAGAAACCACAGCCAACCUGCAGGGUUUACGUAGCAGCUGCUACGGGACCAGCUCCGGGCUUCCCUUGAUUUGUCGGUGAUCCCAGCGUGUGGAUAUCCACAUCCACCUUUUGCUGGAGUGAAGUCUGGCCAGAAGUUAAGGCGCUGGCUCCUGCUCAUGCACCCUGCAGAAGGGGAAGAGGACUUAGACUCAGAAGCCCAGGGUUGCUUUGUCAACGCUGUUCUACCUCUGAUCUCUGAUGCCCAUGGUGCAUGCCUGUAGGUACUGCCCGCUUCUCUCUGAUGAAAGAACAAAAUGGGUUGAAAAAAUCUCCGUCUUGGAGGAAAGGUUGAUGUAGACGACUCAAUGAGCCCUGAACUUCUUGAAGAUGAAAGUCAUCUCCAACCUUGGCCUUUCUGGCCUGUCAUAUGUCUCCGCUGGUCCAGGAGCAGCUGCUUGGCACCUGCUGCUCAAGAUUCUGUCUUCCUCACUAUCGAUGGCUGAGCUGUCCACUGCACUGGACUGUACACUGCAGACAACCAGGUUUUAUCUGAGAGCUCUCCUUCAAGAGAUUAUCUGCAAAAGAAUCCCCCAUCAGGCUUUGAACUUCAGAAACCAGACACAGUAUUAUAAGACAGCUCAAUGCAUGGUGGGCAGGGUAGAGAGAGGACUACUGCUUAAGACACCUGGGAAAACUUCGCAGAGCAAGGCUACUUGCAUUUUAUUCUGAAGAACACAUUGGAGUAAGGAUGGUAGGCAAGGGCUGAUAUACGUUAAGUACCUAUGAAGACCACACACGUCAUAGCUACUCAAGAUUAAUUUACACCCCUCUUUUCUCAAUGUAAGCAAGUAAACUACAGCAACAAAGCCAUCAGAAUGCGAAGGAGCAUGGCAUUGUCAGAGAAUGCUGGAAAGUUUCAUUGCCUGGAGUUCAAGGAGCCUGGUGGGGACUUGAAGGAGAGCUGGGUCCCUAAGGAAUCUAUGCACAGUGCUUUUUCCUGUGUACAUGGAGAGCCAGAAGAGGUAUUAAAUCAGGAGGAUGAUAUUGGAUAUCGUUUGAAAGGAUGCUUCUGGCAGCAGUGGGAGGAUGGAUUGGACGGUCUUUGAAAUAGUCAAGACAGAAGAAGCUUCAGAGAUAGAGAUGAUCACUUAUCAGAAUCGAGGUUUUGGAGUCAGGGAUAUAUUCAAGGGGUUUUGAAAAGAAUAACUCCUCAGCAUGAAGUGACCAAUAGAGAGGGAGCAAGGGGCCACUAUAACAGUGAAUGACAAUAUUCUGGCAGGUGGCAUUGAUAAAAUAUGAAACCUGAAUGAGGAAUAUUCCAUUAACUCUUGUGGUAAAAAGAUAAUUCUAAUGAAUGGUGCCACCCAAGUAAGACAUAUAUUAUCCUCUUCUUUGAAACCUCUGUGUAACUUAAGACAUCGCUGUUGUAUUUAAAAGAAUGCAUUAUUGGGAGCUCCAGCAGAAGGUCAACAUUCAUUAGCAACCCUACAAUAAUAGCCAACAAGUGUGAAGAGAGAGCCUGCAAUUGAGGAAAACAAUUUCAGUUAGAAAAUAGACUCUCAUUUUCUAGCAUCACAAGGUUAUUACAGCAACCAGAAAAUGAAAACACUUUUAUUUUUUAAGUUUAUGAAAAAGUGCUCACCACCACCACCACCACCACCACUACUGACAGUCCAGCCAGGAAAGCACCUUCAGCUAAUGUCACCUUCUCUUCUCUGAACUUAAAUAAGACAAACAGCUAGCAAGCAACAAAGAAGAUGGG
rnacentral:lncRNA from 1 species